AUAUAUACAUAAAGUAUUAAAUAUAAAUAAAAAUAAAAAUUAAUUGUAUAAUUUGGUCGGAAUUGACGAGACGAAUCUUUUGAGCCUAGUUAGACCAUAAUUGGAUAAUAUUUGUCAAAUAUAAAUGAAAAUGCUGUUAUUCCUAUUUUGCAAAAAAAAAUUAAAGUAAACCAGACCUAGAUAUGAAAACGGAUGAGAUAUCACUGACGCCUUGUUUAGUUCUAACAAAUUUUUAAAAAAAUUUUAAAUUCUUCGUCACAUCAAAUCUUGUGAUAGAAUAUUAAAUAUAGAUAAAAAUAAUAAUUAAUUGUACAGUUUAUCUGUAAUUUACGGGACAAAUCUUUUGAGCCUAGUUAAUUCAUGAUUGGACAAUAUUUAUCAAUGCAAACGAAAGUUCUACGUGUCCAUUUUGUAAAAAAUUUUGGAACUAAAUUUUAAGAUUUUUCAUCACAUCGAAUCUUUAGAUGGAUGCAUGAAACAUUAAAUAUAGAUAAAAAAUAACUAAUUACAUAGUUUGUCUGUAAUUUACAAGCCAAAUAUUUUGAGUCUAAUUAAUCCAUGAUUGGACAAUAAUUUUCAAAUAUAAAUGAAAGUCCUACAGUAGCCAAAAACAAAAAAAAAUCCCCAACUAAACAAGCCAAAACAGUUUCCUCAGUGAAGCUCAAAAUGGUCGUCUCCGCAG
rnacentral:lncRNA from 1 species